rnacentral:rRNA from 1 species
CCCUUAGAUGUCCUGGGCCGCACGCGCGUUACACUGAUGCACUCAACGAGCAUAUAACCUUGGCCGAGAGGCCUGGGUAAUCUUGUUAACAUGCAUCGUGAUAGGGAUAGAUUAUUGCAAUUAUUAAUCUUGAACGAGGAAUUCCUAGUAAUCGCAGAUCAUCAAUCUGCAAUGAUUACGUCCCUGCCCUUUGUACACACCGCCCGUCGCACCUACCGAUUGAAUGGUCCGGUGAGGACUCGGGAUUGUGGUUUGGCUCCUUCAUUGGGGCCUGACUGUGAGAACUUGUCCAAACCUUAUCAUUUAGAGGAAGGUGAAGUCGCAACA